CAGAAUCAACGCUGGCGGCGUGCCUAACACAUGCAAGUCGAACGAGAAAGUCCCGCAAGGGACAAGUAGAGUGGCGAACGGGUGAGUAACACGUGGAUAACCUGCCGUCGAGUGGGGAAUAACCUUCCGAAAGGAGGGCUAAUACCGCAUAACACCCGAGGACAUCAGUCCCCGGGUUGAAAGGAGUGAUUCGCUCGAUGAGGGGUCCGCGCCUGAUUAGCUUGUUGGUGGGGUAAUGGCUCACCAAGGCGACAAUCAGUAGCCGUCCUGAGAGGGAGCACGGCCACACUGGAACUGAGACACGGUCCAGACUCCUACGGGAGGCAGCAGUGAGGAAUUUUUGGCAAUGGGCGAAAGCCUGACCAAGCAACGCCGCGUGGGUGAUGAAGUAUUUUGGUACGUAAAACCCUUUCGGCAGGGACGAAUUCUUGACGGUACCUGCGGAAGAAGCCCCGGCUAACUCCGUGCCAGCAGCCGCGGUAAUACGGGGGGGGCAAGCGUUGUUCGGAAUUACUGGGCGUAAAGGGCGCGUAGGCCGGUUGGAUAAGUCAGCUGUGAAAACCUCAGGCUCAACUUGAGGCCUGCA
rnacentral:rRNA from 1 species